AAUUCUCAACUCUGAUUUGAUUUGUUUCUAAUUGGAGCUUGGACUUGGAGCGUGCUGGCGUCUAGUCGGCUCCUCUCAAAUGCAUCAGCGGAAUAUAUAACCUUUGGUUUCCGGACGUCGGUGUGAUAAUAAAGUUGCGCCGUCAUUCGACUUCAAAGUCCGCUCAUAAUGGUCUUCGGACGAACUCUUAUAUCAA
rnacentral:misc_RNA from 1 species